AAAUUUUCAUGUAAAUUCCCUUUCACAAGAUGCACUAAUCCUUAACAAUACAAGCAGAAUCACAUCCAAGGAAAAUGAAAAAAUGCACUGUUUGCAGUAGUAGAAGAGAACAAGAUACACCUGCCUUUGGGAUUUUCCACGCGAAGUGAUCAGUUGAUAUCCAACAAUACACAACGGUAAAACUAAUGAUUUGACCACUAUUGUUGGCACGUUUUAUUUAAUACACCACUGAACUUUUAAUUUUUCUGAUUA
rnacentral:lncRNA from 1 species